GAUGAAGAACGCAGCGAAAUGCGAUAAGUAAUGUGAAUUGCAGAAUUCAGUGAAUCAUCGAAUCUUUGAACGCACAUUGCGCCCGCCAGUAUUCUGGCGGGCAUGCCUGUUCGAGCGUCAUUUCAACCAUCAAGCCCCCGGGCUUGUGUUGGGGACCUGCGGCUGCCGCAGGCCCUGAAAAGCAGUGGCGGGCUCGCUGUCACACCGAGCGUAGUAGAUUUUAUCUCGCUCUGGGCGUGCUGCGGGUUCCGGCCGUUAAACCACCCUUUUAACCCAAGGUUGACCUCGGAUCAGGUAGGAAGACCCGCUGAACCUAAGCAUAUCAAUAAGCGGAGGA
rnacentral:misc_RNA from 1 species